UAGCUUAGAGGUAAAGCACUUGCCUAGAAUGCAUAAGGCCCUGGGUUCAAUCCCAG
rnacentral:tRNA from 1 species